CUACGGGUGGCUGCAGUGGGGAAUAUUGCACAAUGGAGGAAACUCUGAUGCAGCAACGCCGCGUGGAGGAUGACACUUUUCGGAGCGUAAACUCCUUUUAUAUAGGAAGAAGAUGACGGUACUAUAUGAAUAAGCGCCGGCUAACUCCGUGCCAGCAGCCGCGGUAAUACGGAGGGCGCAAGCGUUACUCGGAAUCACUGGGCGUAAAGAGCGUGUAGGCGGAUUAAAAAGUCAGAAGUGAAAUCCUAUAGCUUAACUAUAGAACUGCUUCUGAAACUCUUAAUCUAGAAUAUGGGAGAGGUAGAUGGAAUUUCUGGUGUAGGGGUAAAAUCCGUAGAGAUCAGAAGGAAUACCGAUUGCGAAGGCGAUCUACUAGAACAUUACUGACGCUAAGGCGUGAAAGCGUGGGGAGCAAACAGGAUUAGAUACCCCGGUAGUC
rnacentral:rRNA from 1 species